GUUUUUCUCAUGAUUAAACUGGGAUUAUAAAUUUUGCAGAGGAAGAUAAGCAUUCACAACCAAAACAGGGCUUUUUGAUGACUACAAUCAACUGCCUUCAUGCUUGAGUCUAAGCUUCCUAAAUCAGAAAGCGCCAGAAAUUACACUUUGAACCUCCAAAUAGUCAACCAACAUGAGGAAUUGAGCAGGAGAAGCAAGAAGUGUUUACAGUGAAACAGUCUUCAAAGCGAGGAAUUUGCUCCUGUCUGCAGAAAUUAUGAAAUUAUUUUUUGAGAGGGAUCCCUUACCUUUAACUUGUG